rnacentral:RNase_P_RNA from 2 species
CCAGGGGAUCGGGCGGCCGCGCGCAAGCGAGGAAAGUCCGGGCUCCACGGGAAAACGGUGCCGGGUAACGCCCGGCGGCCCUUCGGGGUCAGGGAUAGUGCCACAGAAAGCAUUCCGCCGCUCUUCGGGGCGGUAAGGGCGAAAGGGUGCGGUAAGAGCGCACCGCGGCUCCGGCAACGGCGCCGGCACGGCAAACCCCACCGGGAGCAAGACCGAAUAGGGAUGGCGAAUGCGGUUUCCCGCCGCGCCGUCCGGGUUGGUCGCUAGAGGUGAGGGGCGACCCUCGCCCCAGAUGAAUGGUCGCCCAUCCUCUUAUCGAGGUGGACAGAACCCGGCUUACAGGUCCCCUGGCUUA